GAUGAACGCUGGCGGCGUGCUUAACACAUGCAAGUCGAACGGAAAGGCCCAAGCUUGCUUGGGUACUCGAGUGGCGAACGGGUGAGUAACACGUGGGUGAUCUGCCCUGCACUUCGGGAUAAGCCUGGGAAACUGGGUCUAAUACCGGAUAGGACCACAUUUUGGAUGGUGUGGUGGAAAGUUUUUCGGUGUGGGAUGAGCUCGCGGCCUAUCAGCUUGUUGGUGGGGUAAUGGCCUACCAAGGCGUCGACGGGUAGCCGGCCUGAGAGGGUGUACGGCCACAUUGGGACUGAGAUGCGGCCCAGACUCCUACGGGAGGCAGCAGGGGGGAAUAUUGCACAAUGGGCGCAAGCCUGAUGCAGCGACGCCGCGUGGGGGAUGACGGCCUUCGGGUUGUAAACUCCUUUCGCUAGGGACGAAGCGUUAUGUGACGGUACCUGGAGAAGAAGCACCGGCUAACUACGUG
rnacentral:rRNA from 1 species